CCUGCUUCAGUCACGGCCUGCGCGGGUCCGCGGUACAGGGACCCGGGCGGGGACUCGGACUCUGGAUUAGCCCCAAAACAGCGGGUCUGGCAUCGUCUGCAGGGCGGAAAAACAGCUACCGCUUUCAAUCAGAUCUCGUUUUACCCCACUGUGUGCCAGGAUUUUGAUGCGCAAAGACAACACAGAAAAUGCUCCUGACUUAAACUGUACUCUGGAAGAGGAUGAAGAAUCCACUGGGAUCCCAAAGAUGCCUAAGACCUUCUAAAUCUGAGAACAGCUCAUCAGAGCCAAACAGCAAAGAUAAAUCUUUUUGUCCCUAAACCCAAUGCUCCUGUGUGGUGUUUGUACCUCCCCAUAUCUGAGCUGGGGGGAAGGCAGAGCUGCUGCUUCUGCAAGGUCAUUCUGCCAUUGACAUGUGGCAUUUUGGGCAACACAAAAUAAAGUGGCUCAGACAAGUGCUGCAUCUCUCUAAAUGUGCUGUCCAUUACCCCAAUCUGAUUAUCUUAAUUGCCAAAACCAUUAGAGCCCUGCAGUCUGAAAGGAAACAAAAAAUCUAUGCAAUUACCAGCCCUGAAAUUGAGUUAUAAUCUUGUAAUAAAUUACAGUGAGGGCCACUUUCUCCAGUGACUCUCAGAGGCACAUUUAAUUCUGUGCUUCAGGGCAGAAACUCAAUUAAAAACAAAAACCUAUUUCAUUUUAAUUGCUGGCCUAAUGAAACCUCUGUCACCUGCAGCUUCCUUGUGUGUGAGUCCAGUGUCUCAUCUCUACGAGUGGCUUCUUGCACAGAGCUAAUGUGUGUGUUGCACAUGCAUUGUAAUAGUAUAUAUUUAUUGUAGAGUGUGUUUUAAGUACAGCAGCAGCUGAUGGUGGCAGUCAUGGAAAUGGGUAGAAACAACACAGAUUUCUCUCUGUGAAUCCCCCUGCCACAGGGCAGGUUGGAUAUAGAGCUGUGGCCAUCACUGCUGCUCUCCUGUUUCUACCAGGGUGGUUUGUGGUGUAUAAAGCACACUGGGAUUGGCACAGGAGAAGCUUUGGCACAGCCAGGGUGUUCCCAUGGCCCUGUUUGUUGGUGAGAUGAGGAAAUGAGCAGGAGUGGGAUCACUCACCUGUGCUGAUGCCAAAAAACUCCAAUAAACCACUUCAUCAGAAUCACCUUUGGCAGAGGCCAUUUCUGCUCCUGCAGGGAAUGAGGAUCCUGCAGCAUCCAGAAGUGAAAGAAGUUCCUAAAAGCCUAGUUCAAGCCUCUGGCAGGAUGGAAGCAGGAGAAGAAGCUCCUGUAAGUGCCUUUUCUGUUUCUCACUUGCAGACAAAGCCACACAAGAAACCUGGCAAGCUUCUCUUUUGUU